rnacentral:rRNA from 1 species
AUGCCUCAGGCUCACAAGAAGCUCAGCUGCUUCCUCCUCCUCCUUCUCGUCGCUGUUAGCCUUACUAUCUGCAGCGUCGGCCAGCAGUUCGUCUACUCCAGCUUCGCCGGCGCCAACAUCACCCUCGGCGGCGCGGCCGCGGUCACCACAACCGGUCUUGUCGAGCUCACCAACGGCACGCUCCGCCAGAAGGCCGACGCCAUCCACCCGGCGCAGUUCCGCUUCCGCGAGCCGGCCGCGCGGAACCGGACUGUGCGGUCGUUCUCGGCCUCCUUCGUGUUCGGCAUCCUCUGCCCCGACGCCAAUAACUGCAGCCAUGGCAUCGUCCUUUUCGUCGCCCCGGGGGCCUACAACUUCUCCGCCGUGUUCCCGAGCCAAUAUCUCGGCCUUGUAGCAGCACCAACGGCGCCGCCGCGAACCACAUCUUCGGCGUCGAACUCGACACCAACCAGAACAACGGGUUCCGCGACAUCGACGGCAACCACGUCGGCAUCGACGUCAACGGGCUCACGUCCCUCGCGUCCAGCAGCGCCGGCUACUUCGGCGACGACGGCAUCCUCCACAACCGGACGCCCGCAAGCGGCACGGCGAUGCAGGUGUGGGUGGACUACGGCGGCGAAGAGAAACUGA